rnacentral:rRNA from 1 species
CGUGUAGGCGGCUUCGUAAGCUUGGUGUUAAAUUUCCUGGCUUAACCAGGGACAAGCGCUGGGAACUGCGAGGCUAGAGUUCAGGAGGGGAAGCUGGAAUUCCAGGUGUAGGGGUGAAAUCUGUAGAUAUCUGGAAGAACACCGGUGGCGAAGGCGAGCUUCUAGCCAUGGACUGACGCUGAGGCGCGAAAGCGUGGGGAGCGAACAGGAUUAGAUACCCUGGUAGUCC